AUGAACCUUUGGAAUGAGUUGCAGCCGAUCCAACUCACUCAGGCUCAAGAUUAUUCACUAACCUGGAGAUGGACAAACGAUGGUCAGUUUUCCUCCAGCUCGGUGUACGCUGCCACUCUUACUGCCAACAUUAGGCCACCUUAUGCGAAGCUGGCCUGGAGCUCGGAUGCCCCUCCCAAAUGUCAGUUCUUCGUCUGGCUGGCUGCUCAAGAUCGAUGUCUAACGGCGGAUAACCUUGCUAAGCGAGGGUGGCCCCAUAAUCCGCUGUGUCUGCUAUGUCUACAAGAGCCUGAAACUGCUGCCCACCUGCUUACUUCUUGCUCUUUUGCGAAGGAAGUUUGGCACCUGACACUCUGCAAGUUGAACAUGAGCCCGGCUAUGGCGGCAGUUCAUGACGAUUCCCUAGUUAGCUGGUGGCACCGAACAAAUGCUUCCAUGGGAAAGGAAAGAGCGAAAUCUUGGAGAUCAAUUUUGGCCCUGGUUUGGUUGAACCUCUGGAAAGAAAGAAAUGAUAGAACAUUCAGAAAUAUUUCUUGUCACCCCACACAACUGUUUCUGAAGAUUCAGGUCAAAGCAAAGGACUGGGUUGAUGCUGGGCGUAAGCGUGCAAUGGCUCUUGUAGAGCGCCCCCUAGAACCAGACUGA
rnacentral:rRNA from 1 species